AUCCCCUGGAUUCAGGGAUGUGGAUAUCCCCUGGAUUCAGGGAUGUGGAUAUCCCCUGGAUUCAGAGAUGGGGAUGUCCCAGCUCCAGGAGGCCGGCAGGGAAGCGUUCUCCAGUGAGCAAAGCAUGUUGAGAUGGAGAAAUCCUUUGUAAUUCAGUUUCUCCAGCUUCAGGACAUCCUCAGGAAUUGGGCAGUGGAGAAAGUAUUUCCACUAUUAAUCCCAUUGUUUUGCAGAAAACAUGUCCAAGCACAUUCGAGGACACACCUCCUCUGCCAUGAGGUGCCUGCACAGCCCAGGGCUGUUUUUUGGGAUCCACCAUCUCCAGAGAGCCCAGGGCUGUUUUUUGGGAUCCACCAUCUCCAGAGAGCCCAGGGCUGUUUUUUGGGAUCCACCAUCUCCAGAGAGCCCAGGGCUGUUUUUUUUGGGAUCCACCAUCUCCAGAGAGCCCAGGGCUGUUUUUUUGGGAUCCACCAUCUCCAGAGAGCCCAGGGCUGUUUUUUGGGAUACACCAUCUCCAGAGCAGAGCCUGCAGUGGGUGCUGCAGAGGACUGGCCACAAUCCUCAGCAUUUUUGCCCUCAGAAAGCAGAUAAAAAUUCACUUAAAGAUAACCUUAAAUGCUGUAUGGACAUCCAGUUAUCUUACAGCCAACACUCAGUUCCCAGCACAAACCAUUCCUCACAGGGCUGAGAACAUCUUAGAGAUGUUUCCCUUACAUGGGGAAGGAAAUGCUGGGGGCAGAUGAAAUCAGCAGUGAGACACAGCCAGGGGCAGGGCAGGGUUUAGUGUCCUGCUGGCUUUUGUGGCAAUCCAGUAAAAAAUGCCCUCAUCAGGUGUUCUCCAACACCAAUUUUCCUCUGUCACUUGCUGAGGGAGCCUUAGGAACCUGGGCUCAGUGGCUCACCUGUGUUCAGGUGGAGCAAUUUCCUGGCAGGGAGGAUGAAGAGGAUUCCUUAUGUAGUAUCAGAAAAAGGUUUAAUCUAAACAUGACAGAAAAAUCCCUGAGUUCCAGCACAGUGAGACAUGAGAAGAGACUGAUUGUGGAAUUUUCAGAGCUGUGUCUAAGCCCUGUCAAAGAGGGCUGGGGGGGAUGAAGCUGUUCUGUGGAAAGAGUGGAUCAUUUCUCCCUGUCCUGCCAUGCCGAGCUUCCACAGCUGAAAAGAAACCCACUGACCCUGGCCUGAUGGGUGAGUAGGUUUUUUCCACAACUGAUUGGCAUUGCUUUUCCUGGUGGUGCUGUGACAGCCUUUGGGAUCAGAUGGAUUUCUGCCCUACCUGCUGCUGUCAAGGCACUUGACGAAGCUUUACCAGUCAGAGCAAGGCUGGGGAGGAUUUGCAGAACAUGGAGUGUCAUCUGCAGAGCCCCCCACCUCCUCCCAACACUGCUCCUGCAUGACUGCCCGGAUGGAUUUGAACUGCAGCAAUUUAGAUUUUAAAAUAUGGCAUCACAUCCACUCCUGAACACACCUCAGGGUGAUUUUACAGACAUGAUGUAACAGAAAAGACAGAGUCACACAGGAAGGCCAGCCCCAGGUGUCAGGGACACGUCACAGCUGGGGUUUUCUGUGCUGCCUGCACGGAAAGCACAAGUUUCAUGAUGACCACGUGUGAACAACAACCACCACACUCCAUCCAUCCCACUGAUGAGGCAGAGGGAUGUGUUCCCACGCCUGCCCUCUCCCAUCACCUCCAGCCCCCGGGACAAAGCCCAGCAGCCACAAGAGCAGAGCUGGGGACGUGACUGGACAGAGCUGGGGCCACAUGUGGCUCCCAUUCCAGGAGUCCUUCCCAGGAAAAGCCCUCCAGGAGCCUUCCUCUGCCACGGUGGCACCACUGAUGAAUCCACGUCCAGGAGUUUCCAGCUGUGGCUGCUCCAUCCCUGGGAGUGCUCAAGGGGCUUGGAGCAACCUGGGAUAGUGGGAACAAGAGGAGCUUUAAGGUCAUUUCCUUCCCAAAGCAUUCCAUGGUUCUGUGAGGGCACAGUGGCGCCAGGGAAAGGUCAGCAGGGAGGAGCCAAGAGCCAAAGGGCCCAGUCUGGUGACCAGCAAUGGUGACCUGUAGGGAAUGCGUGGAGCAGGAGCUGUGAUCCCACCCCAGGUUUGCCCUGGGGUGCCCCCAGAGUGCCCCCCAGGUAAAAAACCCUUUUAUCUGUGCUGUGGGAACUUGGGUGCACAAAGCAAAGUGCUCUGAGCACAUCCCAGCCCCAGGGUGUGCAGACACUUCCUGCCUUUGUUGGGUGUCCAGGUCCUGUCCUGCUCCCACCCUGAGCCCAGCCCUGGAGGGGUCACUGGUGGGGCUGGAGCAGCAUCCCACAGAUCCAUGGGGAUUGCCCAGAUCCAGUGGGAUUUCACUCCCUGGCUUUGUAUUCCCUUGUUCUGCAGGCUUUGCCAGCCUGUCCAUGUCCUUUUGCAGGCCCUGUGUGCUCCAGUGGCCUGAAGCAGGAGAUGAUCCCUGGGCGAGCUCUGCAGACCUCCCUCUGUUAGCAACUACUUCUAUCAGUGCUCCCUCUUCCCCAACCCAAAAUUCCCUUUUCCAAACCCCAUGGGAAGCUCAGUGAGUCCCUCCUUGUCACACCUGAACUGGCUGUGGGAUCUGUGUGACAUUUGCUCAGCCCAUGUGGCACCACUCAAGUCUCACUUUACUGGGAUUUCUCCACAGCUUUUCCUGCCCGUUUCUUCCUCUGGGAUGUGUUUGUGUCCCAAGGGAACAGCCCCAGCUCCACCCUCUCCUUUAGGAAUGAAAACCUUGGAGUUGUGUCAUCUGCAACCCAAAAUCAAAUCCUCCACAAGCCCUGGGAGCCUGAGCAUCCCUGCCCUGCUCCUUUCCCACUGAAACUCCUUUUCUCCAGGCUGGAAUGGACAGGGAAGAGGAAGUGCAGCACUUCUCCCAUAAAAACUUGGUCCCUUCCCACUGCUGGACAUUCCUUUUGCUGCACAGAACUAUGGACACACCCUGGGAAUUGGGAUAUUCCUCCUGUGCUCCCUCCUCGUGCCCAAAGCUCUCCCACCUCCCCAUUCCCCUAGUUUUAACCUCAGGAAAAUGAACUAGAAUUUUAAAAAGGAGGAUGGAGAUGGAGGCAUGGAUGCUCUCAUUGCUCCUAAAUCCAGCUGCAAGAGGAAUAUUUGAA